rfam:Trichuris suis scaffold47.3, whole genome shotgun sequence.
GGUAAGAUGGCCGAGCGGUCCAAGGCGCUGCGUUCAGGUCACAGUCCACUUCUGUGGGCGUGGGUUCGAAUCCCACUCUUGUCA